AAUCCUCAUUUUAGAUUUUGGCAUAAAGUAAUUUGACUACAACACUGAAAUUCAGCAGCUAAGUAAAUGAUCCCAGCUGGCCACAUUUCUGAUGCGGCAUGUCUCUGUUGGCUGAGAAUUCGUGGCAUGUGAUGUGGUCUUUAUAACAUUACUCAGUUAUAAAUAGAUUUCAGAAGUUCACUAAUUACUUGACUGUUGGCAGGUCUCUUUGUAUGUGUUGUCCGGAAAGAGGAGGACUCAAUGAUUAUUCGUUCGCCGGAACCAGAAGUUAAAAUUUUGGUGGAUCGGGAUCCCGUAAAAACUUCUUUCGAGGAAUGGGGUACUUAGUAAGCAAUAAGAAAUGGCGUCAGCACUCAGGCAUAUUUUUGGCGAGGAAAGAUGCAUCACCUAUUGUUGAUAACUGUGGCUGCUAUAUUUGCAAGAAUCACACAUGAGCAUUGAUCAAUGUUCAGAAGAUGCUGGCACAGAUUCUUCUGGAGAUACACAACACACACUAUUACUUCCGUUUCUUCCAGAAAAUAAGGGAAGUCAACAGGAAAGGGGAAUUUGACAUGCUCUUUCAAGAAUUUAUCAAUGGCAGGCGAGAUCAUAUAACCGUGGCUGCAAUGUGCUAGCGAAUACUCAACUUUUAUGCUAUUUGAUUGUUUUCUCAAAAUAUUUUGGGCCUGUAAAUAAGAAGUUUGGGCCUGUAAGUAAGAAUUUCUUUUUAGGCCUCAACCUAACUUUCCGUAACAGUAUAAAUAGAGAACUAUGAUUUUAGG